CCUACGGGAGGCAGCAGUGAGGAAUAUUGGUCAAUGGGCGCGAGCCUGAACCAGCCAAGUAGCGUGAAGGAUGACUGCCCUACGGGUGGUAAACUUCUUUUAUAAAGGAAUAAAGUGAGGCACGUGUGCCUGUUUGUAUGUACUUUAUGAAUAAGGAUCGGCUAACUCCGUGCCAUCAGCCGCGGUAAUACGGAGGAGCCGAGCGUUAUGCGGAUUGAUUGGGUUUAAAGUGAGCGUAGAUGGGGUGUUAAGUCAGUUGUGAAAGUUUGCGGCUCAACCGUAAAAUUGCAAUUGAUACUGGCAGUCUUGAGUACCGUUGAGGUAGGCAGAAUUCGUGGUGUAGCGGUGAAAUGCUUAGAUAUCACGAAGAACUCCGAUUGCGAAGGCGGCCUGCUGGCCUGCGACUGACGUUGAGGCGCGAAAGCGUGGGGAGCAAACAGGAUUAGAUACCCCUGUAGUC
rnacentral:rRNA from 1 species